rnacentral:rRNA from 1 species
UGCCAGCAGCCGCGGUAAUACGAAGGGGGCAAGCGUUGUUCGGAAUCACUGGGCAUAAAGAGUUCGUAGGCGGUCUUAUUAGUUGGGUGUGAAAUCCCGGGGCUUACCCCCGGAACUGCACUCAAAACUGUAAGGCUGGAGUCCCUGAGGGGUAAGUGGAAUUCCAGGUGUAGCGGUGAAAUGCGUAGAUAUCUGGGAGAAGGCCAAUGGCGAAGGCAGCUUACUGGUGGGUGACUGACGCUGAGGAACGAAAGUUAGGGUAUCGAACGGGAUUAGAUA